rnacentral:lncRNA from 1 species
UGAGCCUGCAUUUCGAGAUGGGGAUUGUUUAGGAGGUCGGGAAUGAUAUGAUGUUUUUAUACUUUCAAAAUUUGAAGCCUUAAGUGAGUUAAUUUCGAGGACGAAAUUAUUUUAAGAGGGGAAGAAUGUGAGACCCUGGAACUGGGCCCGGUCCACUUGACCGGCCCAGUCCCAAGUUUUGGCCUCACGUGCGGCGCACGUGAGGCAACGGGAUGGAGGGAUCCAUCCCGAAGAAGAAGGAGCCCCU